UCCUGAUAAUGAACUUGUCAACAUUCCGUCCGUUUCCUCUUCUUUCUAUCCGUUGUUCUUUCUUUCCUUCUCAUAUUUAAUUUCCUCUCCUUUAGAUCCCUUAUUGUAUAAAAUUUCAGUUAUUGUUCUUAGUUGAAAGGAUUUUGAACAUCACUACAUAAACAAACACAUCAUGCAUUCACCAUUUGGCUUUUCAUUAUAAACCUUAUUCAAACAUUGCACAUCAUUUGUAAUUUUAGAGCAUCGUCAAUACUACUACGAUCUUCGGAUUAUACCAUAUUACAUCAAUAACUUCUCCUUCACUUUUUAAGUUACCAAAGCCUGUCACAUGACAUAAGAGAAGGAGACAACAGGAUUUCGCUUUGGGGUUUAAAUUAUUUUAUCAAGGAAUGAAGUCAGAAGAAGAAAGGAAGCAAUGAUCAGAAGCUAUGUAGAAAUUUAACCCUGAAGCUACAAUCAAUACGAAUACUUUUGUGUCAUGGACUUUUGUUGUGUAUUUCUUCUUUCCGGUCUCUUUCCUUUUAUCUAUUGAAGCACUUGGAAUUUAUAGGAGAAAAUAAUGACAUUAUUUUUUCUCAAAAUUAUUUAGCGGAACUUUUCAAAAAUUAGUUGUAGAUUAGUUUCUUUCUUUCUUAAAAGGGAAAAUACUCAGAAAAAUACCUGAAAUUUGACUAGAUUUUCAGGUGAGCAUACUUAACUUUGCGGUUGCCCUAUUACCCCUAGACCUUUUUUUUAUAUUUGAAUGACAUAUAUCUGCUCACUUAUAUCACUUAGUCAAUCAACCAAAUGACGGUGAACACAUGCACCGUUUAAAUAAAUUAUUAUUCCAUUUAAUUUUUGUUUUAACUCCUAAUUAUCCACAAAUGUAAUAAAAGAUAAAUAAUUAUUAAACAAAAACGUUACCUUUUCUCUUCUCUAUACUCACACACUUCAGAUAUUUUCAAUGAUCGCUUUCACUCUUCAUCCUCAUUUCUCACUUUGACUACUCUUUACAAAAAAUUUUCUUCCAAGGUCAACAAUAACAACUGUUCUGGUGUUCCUCGGGGUGUGAUUUCGUAUCGAGGAGCUGUGAGAGUGUUGGUAUUGAACAAGUCUUGAAGGUUAGUAUGACGGCGAAACUUAACAAUUGAAACUUUAUGACAAUUUUUUUAGGGUUAUUGUUCAAUAAGUCUGAAGUUUCAUAGUUUAUCAAAAUUAGGGUUUUUUGCCAGUCUAAAUCGUUCUUAUUUUUAUCAAUAAGUUAGGAAUUUUUUGUAAUCUAAAUUGACUCUUCUAGUGUGACUGACUACUGC
rnacentral:lncRNA from 1 species